rnacentral:lncRNA from 1 species
AAAAAAUCUGGAGAACACCUCCCAAAAAAAAAUCAGGAAGGGCCCCAAAAAUAUCGGGGGGACCCCAAAAAAUUCCCCAAAUUUUCCACCGAGGCCUUGGCACCCCAAAAUUUACCCUGAGGGGCAAAAUUUGGGAGGGAGCCCCCUAAAAAAUCAGAAUUUUCCCCGAAAAUCCCCAAAUUUGGGUUGUUUUGGGGUUUUCUUUGUGCUGGAUUUGAAUGGGGGACCCCAAAAUUUGACACCUCAAAUUUGUCACCCAGGUGUUAUUUCCCAGCGUUUUGGGGUGAUUUCUCAUCAUUUUGGGGUCAUUCCUGACCACUUUGGCCUCCUUGCCACCACCCCGGUGGUCACUCCCUCAGUGUCCAGCAGCGUCCAGGUGUCCGGCGGUCACUCCCCACAAUUUUGGGGUCACUUCGAGUCACUUCAGGGGUCACUUCAUGUCCCUUUGGUGGUCACUUCGUGGUCACUUCGCCCUCCUUGUCCCCCCUCAAUGUCCAGCGGUCACUCCCCACCACUCUGGGGUCACUCUCCACCAUUUUGGGGUCACUUCGAGCCACUUCAGGGGUCACUCUGUGCCACUCUGGUGGUCACUUUGUGGUCACUUCGCCCCCAGGCCAGUGGUCACCGCCUCAAUGUCCAGCGGUCACUCCCCACGAUUUUGGGGACACUUUGUGCCACUUUGGGGUCACUUUGUGCCACUUUGGGGGUCACUCUGAUGGUCACUUUGUAGUCACUUUGGCCUCCUUGCCAUCACCCCAGUGGU